GCAACCGAACUCAGAGGA
rnacentral:rRNA from 1 species